GGGUUGUGAGGUUAAGCGACUAAGCGUACACGGUGGAUGCCCUGGCAGUCAGAGGCGAUGAAGGACGUGCUAAUCUGCGAAAAGCGUCGGUAAGGUGAUAUGAACCGUUAUAACCGGCGAUGUCCGAAUGGGGAAACCCAGUGCAAUUCGUUGCACUAUCGUUAACUGAAUACAUAGGUUAACGAGGCGAACCGGGGGAACUGAAACAUCUAAGUACCCCGAGGAAAAGAAAUCAACCGAGAUUCCCCCAGUAGCGGCGAGCGAACGGGGAGCAGCCCAGAGUCUGAAUCAGCUUGUGUGUUAGUGGAACGGUCUGGAAAGUCCGACGGUACAGGGUGAUAGUCCCGUACACCAAAAUGCACAGGUUGUGAACUCGAAGAGUAGGGCGGGACACGUGGUAUCCUGUCUGAAUAUGGGGGGACCAUCCUCCAAGGCUAAAUACUCCUGACUGACCGAUAGUGAACCAGUACCGUGAGGGAAAGGCGAAAAGAACCCCGGCGAGGGGAGUGAAAAAGAACCUGAAACCGUGUACGUACAAGCAGUGGGAGCACCUUCGGGUGUGACUGCGUACCUUUUGUAUAAUGGGUCAGCGACUUAUAUUCUGUAGCAAGGUUAACCGUAUAGGGGAGCCGCAGGGAAACCGAGUCUUAACUGGGCGUUAAGUUGCAGGGUAUAGACCCGAAACCCGGUGAUCUAGCCAUGGGCAGGUUGAAGGUUGGGUAACACUAACUGGAGGACCGAACCGACUAAUGUUGAAAAAUUAGCGGAUGACUUGUGGCUGGGGGUGAAAGGCCAAUCAAACCGGGAGAUAGCUGGUUCUCCCCGAAAGCUAUUUAGGUAGCGCCUCGUGAACUCAUCUUCGGGGUAGAGCACUGUUUCGGCUAGGGGGUCAUCCCGACUUACCAACCCGAUGCAAACUACGAAUACCGAAGAAUGUUAUCACGGGAGACACACGGCGGGUGCUAACGUCCGUCGUGAAGAGGGAAACAACCCAGACCGCCAGCUAAGGUCCCAAAGUCAUGGUUAAGUGGGAAACGAUGUGGGAAGGCACAGACAGCCAGGAUGUUGGCUUAGAAGCAGCCAUCAUUUAAAGAAAGCGUAAUAGCUCACUGGUCGAGUCGGCCUGCGCGGAAGAUGUAACGGGGCUAAACCAUGCACCGAAGCUGCGGCAGCGACACUAUGUGUUGUUGGGUAGGGGAGCGUUCUGUAAGCCUGCGAAGGUGUGCUGUGAGGCAUGCUGGAGGUAUCAGAAGUGCGAAUGCUGACAUAAGUAACGAUAAAGCGGGUGAAAAGCCCGCUCGCCGGAAGACCAAGGGUUCCUGUCCAACGUUAAUCGGGGCAGGGUGAGUCGACCCCUAAGGCGAGGCCGAAAGGCGUAGUCGAUGGGAAACAGGUUAAUAUUCCUGUACUUGGUGUUACUGCGAAGGGGGGACGGAGAAGGCUAUGUUAGCCGGGCGACGGUUGUCCCGGUUUAAGCAUGUAGGCUGGUUAUCCAGGCAAAUCCGGAUAAUCAAGGCUGAGGUGUGAUGACGAGGCACUACGGUGCUGAAGUAACAAAUGCCCUGCUUCCAGGAAAAGCCUCUAAGCAUCAGGUAACAUCAAAUCGUACCCCAAACCGACACAGGUGGUCAGGUAGAGAAUACCAAGGCGCUUGAGAGAACUCGGGUGAAGGAACUAGGCAAAAUGGUGCCGUAACUUCGGGAGAAGGCACGCUGGUGUGUAGGUGAAGUCCCUGCGGAUGGAGCUGAGACCAGUCGAAGAUACCAGCUGGCUGCAACUGUUUAUUAAAAACACAGCACUGUGCAAACACGAAAGUGGACGUAUACGGUGUGACGCCUGCCCGGUGCCGGAAGGUUAAUUGAUGGGGUUAUCCGUAAGGAGAAGCUCUUGAUCGAAGCCCCGGUAAACGGCGGCCGUAACUAUAACGGUCCUAAGGUAGCGAAAUUCCUUGUCGGGUAAGUUCCGACCUGCACGAAUGGCGUAAUGAUGGCCAGGCUGUCUCCACCCGAGACUCAGUGAAAUUGAACUCGCUGUGAAGAUGCAGUGUACCCGCGGCAAGACGGAAAGACCCCGUGAACCUUUACUAUAGCUUGACACUGAACAUUGAGCCUUGAUGUGUAGGAUAGGUGGGAGGCUUUGAAGCGUGGACGCCAGUCUGCGUGGAGCCAACCUUGAAAUACCACCCUUUAAUGUUUGAUGUUCUAACGUUGGCCCCUGACCGGGGUUGCGGACAGUGUCUGGUGGGUAGUUUGACUGGGGCGGUCUCCUCCCAAAGCGUAACGGAGGAGCACGAAGGUUAGCUAAUCCUGGUCGGACAUCAGGAGGUUAGUGCAAUGGCAUAAGCUAGCUUGACUGCGAGCGUGACGGCGCGAGCAGGUGCGAAAGCAGGUCAUAGUGAUCCGGUGGUUCUGAAUGGAAGGGCCAUCGCUCAACGGAUAAAAGGUACUCCGGGGAUAACAGGCUGAUACCGCCCAAGAGUUCAUAUCGACGGCGGUGUUUGGCACCUCGAUGUCGGCUCAUCACAUCCUGGGGCUGAAGUAGGUCCCAAGGGUAUGGCUGUUCGCCAUUUAAAGUGGUACGCGAGCUGGGUUUAGAACGUCGUGAGACAGUUCGGUCCCUAUCUGCCGUGGGCGCUGGAGAAUUGAGGGGGCUGCUCCUAGUACGAGAGGACCGGAGUGGACGCAUCACUGGUGUUCGGGUUGUCAUGCCAAUGGCACUGCCCGGUAGCUAAAUGCGGAAGAGAUAAGUGCUGAAAGCAUCUAAGCACGAAACUUGCCCCGAGAUGAGUUCUCCCUGAGACUAUAAGUCUCCUGAAGGAACGUUAAAGACGAUGACGUUGAUAGGCCGGGUGUGUAAGCGCAGCGAUGCGUUGAGCUAACCGGUACUAAUGAACCGUGAGGCUUAACCUUACAACGCCGAAG
rnacentral:rRNA from 1 species